rnacentral:rRNA from 1 species
AUGACGGUUGACCAUCUUCAUGAGUUUGUCAACCUAUGGGAGAAGCUAUCUCAUGUUCUGCUAAUACCUGACACACCUGAUUCCAUCAAUUGGAAGCUCACCAAGGAUGGUCAUUAUUCAGCGGCAACAGCUUACAGCAUGCAAUUUCUUGGUUUAGUCGACAUGGACUUGCCUCGAAUUGUUUGGAGAACUUGGGCUCCCCCAAAAUGCAAGUUUUUCGCUUGGCUAGUCAUCAACAAUAGAAUCUAG